rnacentral:rRNA from 1 species
GUGGGGGAUAUUGCACAAUGGAGGAAACUCUGAUGCAGCGACGCCGCGUGAGUGAAGAAGUAUUUCGGUAUGUAAAGCUCUAUCAGCAGGGAAGAUAAUGACAGUACCUGACUAAGAAGCCCCGGCUAACUACGUGCCAGCAGCCGCGGUAAUACGUAGGGGGCAAGCGUUAUCCGGAUUUACUGGGUGUAAAGGGAGCGUAGACGGAAUGGCAAGUCUGAAGUGAAAUCCUGCGGCUUAACUGCAGAAUUGCUUUGGAAACUGUCAAUCUGGAGUGUUGGAGAGGUAAGCGGAAUUCCUGGUGUAGCGGUGAAAUGCGUAGAUAUCAGGAAGAACACCGGAGGCGAAGGCGGCUUACUGGACAAUAACUGACGUUGAGGCUCGAAAGCGUGGGAAGCAAACAGGAUUAGAUACCCGGGUAGUCC